GGAGGGAGCGAACGUUGUUCGGAAUUACUGGGCGUAGAGGGCGUGUAGGCGGUCGAGUAAGUCAGGUGUGAAAUCUUACUGCUUAACAGUAAACCUGCAUUUGAAACUGCCCGACUUGAGGUCAGGAGAGGAGAGCGGAAUUCCCAGUGUAGCGGUGGAAUGCGUAGAUAUUGGGAAGAACACCAGUGGCGAAGGCGGCUCUCUGGACUGACUCUGACGCUGAGGCGCGAAAGCUAGGGGGAGCAAACAGGAUUAGAUACCCUGGUAGUCCUAGCCGUAAACGAUGGGCACUAGGUGCUGGGAAUAUCGACAUUUUCAGUGCCGGAGCCAACGCAUUAAGUGCCCCCGCCUGGGAGUACGACCGCAAGGUUG
rnacentral:rRNA from 1 species